UGAGAUUGUAAGUCUCUCAUUCUUCAUGGCAUUGUAUGGAGACUUGACUUUUUUUCCUUUCAUGAGAGCUAAUGACAUACUUGUUGAAUUAUCCAAGUUGGAGCCCUUCUCAUGGAUGAUGUCUUGGUUCAAGGAUCUAUACUUAUGAAUGAAUGAUUAAGUGUUCUCCAAAGAAUUACUUAACACAAUUAAAACUCACCACUAACAUUUGACUAAUACUUGACUAACUUUUAUUCAUUUUGCUUUUACUUUCAAGUCAUUUACUUUAUGCAAUUUAAAUUUCAG
rnacentral:lncRNA from 1 species